rnacentral:rRNA from 1 species
CGGAGCGAAGCGACGUCAAAGCGUUCAUUAAAGUCGAGUUGGCUUAGGGAUACGUUCGUUGGGUAGGGGAGCGUUCUGUAAGCCGUUGAAGGUGGCCUGUGAGGGUUGCUGGAGGUAUCAGAAGUGCGAAUGCUGACAUAAGUAACGAUAAAGCGGGUGAAAAGCCCGCUCGCCGGAAGACCAAGGGUUCCUGUCCAACGUUAAUCGGGGCAGGGUGAGUCGACCCCUAAGGCGAGGCCGAAAGGCGUAGUCGAUGGGAAACGGGUUAAUAUUCCCGUACUUGGUGUUACUGCGAAGGGGGGACGGAGAAGGCUAUGUUGGCCGGGCGACGGUUGUCCCGGUUUAAGCGUGUAGGUGUGUGUUCCAGGUAAAUCCGGUUCACUUUAACACUGAGGCGUGACGACGAGGCACUACGGUGCUGAAGCAACAAAUGCCCUGCUUCCAGGAAAAGCCUCUAAGCAUCAGGUAACAUCAAAUCGUACCCCAAACCGACACAGGUGGUCAGGUAGAGAAUACCAAGGCGCUUGAGAGAACUCGGGUGAAGGAACUAGGCAAAAUGGUGCCGUAACUUCGGGAGAAGGCACGCUGACACGUAGGUGAAGUGAUUUACUCAUGGAGCUGAAGUCAGUCGAAGAUACCAGCUGGCUGCAACUGUUUAUUAAAAACACAGCACUGUGCAAACACGAAAGUGGACGUAUACGGUGUGACGCCUGCCCGGUGCCGGAAGGUUAAUUGAUGGGGUCAGCGCAAGCGAAGCUCCUGAUCGAAGCCCCGGUAAACGGCGGCCGUAACUAUAACGGUCCUAAGGUAGCGAAAUUCCUUGUCGGGUAAGUUCCGACCUGCACGAAUGGCGUAAUGAUGGCCAGGCUGUCUCCACCCGAGACUCAGUGAAAUUGAACUCGCUGUGAAGAUGCAGUGUACCCGCGGCAAGACGGAAAGACCCCGUGAACCUUUACUAUAGCUUGACACUGAACAUUGAGCCUUGAUGUGUAGGAUAGGUGGGAGGCUUUGAAGCGUGGACGCCAGUCUGCGUGGAGCCGACCUUGAAAUACCACCCUUUAAUGUUUGAUGUUCUAACGUGGACCCGUGAUCCGGGUUGCGGACAGUGUCUGGUGGGUAGUUUGACUGGGGCGGUCUCCUCCUAAAGAGUAACGGAGGAGCACGAAGGUUGGCUAAUCCUGGUCGGACAUCAGGAGGUUAGUGCAAUGGCAUAAGCCAGCUUGACUGCGAGCGUGACGGCGCGAGCAGGUGCGAAAGCAGGUCAUAGUGAUCCGGUGGUUCUGAAUGGAAGGGCCAUCGCUCAACGGAUAAAAGGUACUCCGGGGAUAACAGGCUGAUACCGCCCAAGAGUUCAUAUCGACGGCGGUGUUUGGCACCUCGAUGUCGGCUCAUCACAUCCUGGGGCUGAAGUAGGUCCCAAGGGUAUGGCUGUUCGCCAUUUAAAGUGGUACGCGAGCUGGGUUUAGAACGUCGUGAGACAGUUCGGUCCCUAUCUGCCGUGGGCGCUGGAGAACUGAGGGGGGCUGCUCCUAGUACGAGAGGACCGGAGUGGACGCAUCACUGGUGUUCGGGUUGUCAUGCC